rnacentral:tRNA from 1 species
AUUUAAAUAAUUUAAUAUUAAAAUAUUGAUUUGUGGUAUCAAAAAUAUGAGUAAAUUCAUUUUAAAUU